rnacentral:rRNA from 1 species
ACGGAGGGUGCAAGCGUUAUCCGGAUUUAUUGGGUUUAAAGGGUGCGUAGGCGGUGAUUUAAGUCAGUGGUGAAAUCCUGCAGCUCAACUGUAGAACAGCCAUUGAAACUGAAUUACUUGAGUAAUCUUGAGGUAGGCGGAAUGUGUAGUGUAGCGGUGAAAUGCUUAGAUAUUACACAGAACACCGAUUGCGAAGGCAGCUUACUAAGGAUUUACUGACGCUGAUGCACGAAAGCGUGGGGAUCAAACAGGAUUAGAUACCCUGGUAGUCCACGCCGUAAACGAUGAUAACUCGCUGUUGGCGAUACACAGUCAGCGGCUUAGCGAAAGCGUUAAGUUAUCCACCUGGGGAGUACGCUCGCAAGAGUG